CCCUGGACGCUGGAGCAGGAUGGCGGCCGGACCGAGGAGGCUCGCGGAGGAUGGAGGAGGAUGGAGGAGGAUGGAGGAGGAUGGAUGGAGGAUGGAGGAGGAUGGAGGAGGAUGGAGGAGGAUGGAGGAGGAUGGAGGAGGAUGGAGGAGGAUGGAUGAAGGAUGGAGGAGGAUGGAGGAUGGAUGGAUGGAGGAUGGAGGAGGAUGGAGGAGGAUGGAUGGAUGGAGGAUGGAGGAGGAUGGAUGGAGAAUGGAUGGAUGGGCAGAUGAGGAGAAGGAAGGAAAGACGGAAGCUGGAACAGAUGGCUGGAUGAAUGGAUGAACGGACAUAAGGAGAGAAGCAUGAACAGAAGGACAGAUGGAGAGACGGACAGAAAGAGGGACAGGUGACGGCGUUGGAAAGCAGGGAUCACCGGAAGCACAGCGUCCCUCUUAGGGACUCAUUAAGAAUGGCGUUGCCUGGCCUAGAGCAAGGGACAGGCAUCUGCAUUCCGCCAGCGCCCCCGCAGUGACACCGGGGCGGCCUCAGCUCUCCGCCGGGCAGGGUCCGUGGCGGGGCAUCCUCAGGGAGACGCGGUUCACCAGGUUCACGGCACCAGCGCCUGGGACACCAGUUCAGUCACCAAAUAUCAGGAAGAGAAACUGCUCACAGCUGACACAGGCUGUCGCAACCCGCCAAGUGCCCCCCACCACGUGGUCUAAGGGCAGAAGCAGAACACAGAACACAGACAGUGUCCAGGAGGGUGUGCAGGAGGAUUCUCCCUGGGGAGCGCGCCUGCUGGUGAUCUUUAGUUUACUUUUAUGUAUUUUUCAUACUUUGUGUCACAAACGCGCAUCUCUUUCAUAUUAGAAAAAAAUGUUUUGAAUGGCAAGAAAUCUCGGUGCCCGUGAAGAGAAGGCACCGUCAGCCUUUCCUGUCUGGGCCCGUGACCCCUGGGGCGAGGGAGCUUCAGAAGGGCCAUCUCAGCACUGCACACGUCACUCCCCAGGUGACACCUCCGCCCUGGGCCGGGGAUUCUAACAGAGGGAGCCCCAAAGCUCGCAAGGCGGACACAGGCUGGUGGGAAUCCCUGCCUUCUGAGGAAGGGCUCUGAGCGUGCUGCGGUUUGGGGGGUACUGUGGGGCUCCUGGGACCCACCUCCCCCAUACUGGGGGAUGACUGAUAGCAAACCGAGUCCCCAGAGUCAGCUUAGCAACAGGAGAGUCAGUCUCCAUCCCAAGCGGGAGGAAAUGUUAGAGGGAUUUCACUCCUGUGAGAUGCGGAAAAGCCACGGCCGCUUCGCAAUGACGGGAGGACAAGGUCUCUCCUUCCCUGCACGCAGAUAAUCCACAAGUGUCACCCACACAGGGGAGGACAGAGUCCUUGCCAUGCUGCCCAACCCAGGCUGGACCGGCCUGGUGCGCUCCAGGGCCAUCGCCGGUCCCCCAGCCACCCCCUGCUCCAUGGGACCAGCUGCCCCUGCUUUCCCUUCGGCCACCGACAGCUGCACGACCCAGCACACACUAAACACGUCGUCGGCUCUCGUGGCCCAAUUUCUAGGUCACACAACGCCUGCGGUCCUGCUGUUUCAACUAAACCACUCAUCAGCCCUUCCCCAGGUCAGUAAUUUCAGCCUCGGGGGCCUGCAAACAUCAAAACAAGAGCCAUAAAAAGUAACAGCAAGCCAAUGAAAGCUGGAGGAGCCGCAAACUCUACCUGCAUGACAGCUGGACAACACACACAGCCGGCCCGCUCUGAAAGGGCGGAAGCCCCCACCCCGACUGGCCGGCUUUUCUCUCUCUCCGAA
ensembl:lincRNA